GACCGUCCUAAUUAGCAGAGCCCUAAUCUUUCCUUGACCAUCUCCUGUUCAGAAGUGGAGAAGUUAUCCAUCAACAGUCCCUGCCUGGAAAGAGCUUGGCUUCUGCCCUCCACAUGGCAUGCGGAUUUCCUUUUAUCUAAGAGAAAACCUAGAGUCCACCAGGAAGGCUGAGUGCCGCACAGAGGCCAGACAGAGCAGCCAUCAUUACUCCCUCCCUGCCGCCUCCUGCCUGUCUUCUAUGCCUAGCUAGCUGUUUCCUAAGGAUCAGAAGAGGAGUUUCUCCCUUGUCUUUCUGAGAGAUGAUACCUUGGGACCUUCUAUCAAACAAAUACUCCAGUCCAUAGAUGAAGUUCCACACUAUACCCUGGAAGCUGACAACUCUGCUUGAGAACAGUCACCAUCAUGGGUAUCACCGACCCAACUCUGGACAACAUGCUGCAUCCAUGAACUGUUCACAGAACUCUGGAAAAACCUUCUUUCAUUAAGCAAACAUCUUAAUAAAACGACCUGCCCUCUCCUGCUGUGCAUGUGCAUUGCACACACAGUGGUAAGGCUAAUUGUGCUUAUCCUGACAUGAAUGUCCACAGAGGACUCUGGGCACAAUUCUACCACACUAGCAGCAGAUGUGAGUCACUGGAAUAAGUUCUUCAUCAGUAAAGGUGCUGAAAUGUGGAGUCCAAGAGAGCCCCGGCUCUGCACAGAGAAGACAUCUGGGAGAUGCUAAUUGAAGACUGAAGAAAAAUGAGAGCAAUUCCAUGGUCUCUGAUCUAAAUUAUACAUUCACCCUCUCCUGGCUCUUUGAGACACAUAAUAGAUGAAUAAAAAGA
rnacentral:lncRNA from 1 species